rnacentral:lncRNA from 1 species
AAAAUUUUUAUAAAUGAUUUCUUUAUAAUAUAAAGGAAUUAAUUUACUUAUUUUCUAAAUAGAUAUUAACCUGUACAAUACUUUAUUUAAUCUAACAGAGCAAAUUAUGGACCAUUUUAUUCAUUUUUCAAAUAGAGAAACUCAGAAUUCUACUAUAUUUUUACUGAAGGUAAUUAUAUCAACCCAAACAGUAUCUCAAAAAGUUAUUACUGAAACAUAAUUAAGGGAAUUGAAAUUUUGAGCACAGUUGAAUUUCAUAAACAUAAA